UUCCAAGCUAGGUUUCUUCAUAUACUUUGUAUCAACUAUUGUUGCUACUUGUAAGGGAUGGUUUUGCUGGUCGCAUGCUUGUGCAUUUGUUCUGAUGGCUUGCCCUAGCAUUCUCUUCGUGGCAGCAUUUCUGCUACUUUUAUCUUUCUGGUAUUUCUCUCUGUCCUUCCCAACCAUUAUUUUUUUAUUGGUUGAUUGGUCCUGUUGUUACUUUGGUAUCAUAAAAUGUUACUUUUGGUUUAUUAAUCUGUCAUAGAUUUGGAAGUCAGCUUUUGAUGCAUAAUUCUUUUCCUUGUGUUUUAUAGGUGUUAGUGAUGCCUACAGUUGUCGUUAAUAAAUGUAUUUCUUCAUCCACAUUUCUUUUUUGAUGGGGGAAAAAAAUCUUUUACUAACAUAUAUGCGUAAGAAAAAGGGCACAAUUGGUACAUGCUGCAUAACCAGCAUGCUUAUUUGAAUAUAUUCAAUUAGAAAUAUGGGUUAGUUGAUUCUCAAGAUGGAAUCAUAUUCAAUCUUUGAAAGAUGACUGGGAAAUGUUAGCUAAAUCUUUUCUGUG